GUAACAUUUUCUGGGAAACGACAGAAAUAUUAUGAUGACCUUCAUAAUGCUACAGACAUACCUGGUUUGGGUUGUCUUCACUUUAUUUCAGGAAUCCAGUGGGCAGAUUGUCAUCACUCAGACACCAGCCUCACUACAUGUAAAUCCUGGGGACAGAGUUACCAUUCAGUGCAAAGCAUCCUCCUCCAUGAGUAAUGAUAUGGCUUUAUACCAAUUCAUCCCAGGAAAAAACCCCAAGCUCCUUCUUUAUGAGACUUCCACACGUUUCACAGGGACCCCGGAUCGCUUUAGUGGCAGCUACAGUGGCACUGACUUCACCUUCACUAUCAGCGGUGUACGUCCUGAAGAUGAAGGGGAAUAUCACUGUGGCCAGUACUACAGCUUCCCUCUACACAGUGAUACGUUUCAGUACAAAAACCAACUGAAAGAUCUAUUACAGUCAAAAUGA